rnacentral:rRNA from 1 species
UACGGAGGGUGCAAGCGUUGUUCGGAAUCACUGGGCGUAAAGGGCGUGUAGGCGGCCCGCUAAGUCUGAUGUGAAAGCCCGGGGCUCACCCCCGGAAGGGCAUUUGGAAACUGGCGGACUCGAGUCCCGGAGAGGAGGGUGGAAUUCCCGGUGGUAGCGGUGAAAUGCGUAGAUAUCGGGAGGAACACCGGCGGCGAAGGCGGCCCUCUGGACGGUGACUGACGCUAGACGCGAAAGCGUGGGGAGCAAACAGGAUUAAGAUACCCCCGAGUAGUCCCGAAGAACCA